CAAAGUGCUUCUGGCUUAGUCCAGUUUCUCUUCUCUUUCUCUUCCAUUCUUCACAGUAAAUAAAAAGAGUUACACUGUACGGAUGCCAGCUUUCAGUUAAUGGACGUGAAGUCGAAUUUGGAAGCGUCACAGGGACAGUUACCUGAUUCAGUAUAUUGGACAAGAAAAGAAAUCACACCUUCCAGUUUCCUCUGAGAAGCCCCUUGGGAUGUAGCGGGACAGAUCCAGGUCCAUUCUACUAAGCAUAACUGAUUACGUGUGAUGUUUUCUUUGGGGAUCAGAAAUUGCUGAAAUCAAUUGAUCGCAUCUGUGGAGCUAGGUGGGUCUGAGUGUGGAAAUAGCCUGGGAGGAGCGGAGCCAAGAGAUGGAUCCUGAUGGCAGUGUAAACUGAGUCAAGUCACAGCUGAAGCAACCUUGAACCUAGGUAUUUUGAAUUAAUAGUUUCUCUCUUUGACCGCUGUAAUUAGCUCCUGUUUAUUCCUUGGGGUUGACAAACUUUUUCUGCAACAGGGCCAGAUAGUAAAUAUUUUUGGUGUAUAUUUUCUAUUAGUUAAAUACUAAUUAAAUUAAUUAAUGGAACUUUCUAAGGUUGUAUUUACUGUCUCUAUA